rnacentral:rRNA from 1 species
GACGAACGCUGGCGGCGUGCUUAACACAUGCAAGUCGAACGGAAAGGGCCUGCUUUUGUGGGGUGCUCGAGUGGCGAACGGGUGAGUAACACGUGAGUAACCUGCCCUUGACUUUGGGAUAACUUCAGGAAACUGGGGCUAAUACCGGAUAGGAGCGCCUGCUGCAUGGUGGGGGUUGGAAAGUUUCGGCGGUUGGGGAUGGACUCGCGGCUUAUCAGCUUGUUGGUGGGGUAGUGGCUUACCAAGGCUUUGACGGGUAGCCGGCCUGAGAGGGUGACCGGCCACAUUGGGCCUGAGGUACGGCCCGGACUCCUACGGGAGGCAGCAGUGGGGAAUAUUGCACAAUGGGCCGAAGCCUGAUGCAGCAACGCCGCGUGCGGGAUGACGGCCUUCGGGUUGUAAACCGCUUUCGCCUGUGACGAAGCGUGAGUGACGGUAAUGGGUAAAGAAGCACCGGCUAACUACGUG